AAAGACUUCAAUUUCAUGUAGAGACACCUUGUGCAAGUGUGAGACAAGGCCUUUCCUGAGAGGACCUGGAGAAGAACUCAAGUGAGGCAAAGGAUGGUGAAGAACCAGAGACAGGGAACCUUUUAUCAGGUAAUGUUACAUUUGAUUAAAUGGGUGCCUGUUUAAAUACAACCAUGUGGCUGCAUUGCUGAACUCUGGGAAAUGAGUUAGAGCCAAACACGGAACUUCUACCCUGCCUUCCUGUGGGUGGAUGGUUGUACCAGUCGAGACCUAACUGGUUUCCUCCAAGACCAGCAAUCCCAAACCAGAGGAACUGUAUGAACCGCUACGCACUUACUCAGGAAACAUGAUAAAAGACACUAUGGUAAUAGUUGUAGUUCUUAGUCAGGAAACUUAGUAAAAGUCUGUGAUUAAGAGG
rnacentral:lncRNA from 1 species